GCACCGGUGGCCGAGCGGUCUAAGGCGUCAGAGUUAAGUUCUGUUGGGCGUUAGCCUUCGCAGGUUCGAAUCCUGCCCGGUGCG